rnacentral:rRNA from 1 species
CAUGCCGUAAACGAUGAGUGCUAAGUGUUAGGGGGUUUCCGCCCCUUAGUGCUGCAGCUAACGCAUUAAGCACUCCGCCUGGGGAGUACGACCGCAAGGUUGAAACUCAAAGGAAUUGACGGGGGCCCGCACAAGCGGUGGAGCAUGUGGUUUAAUUCGAAGCAACGCGAAGAACCUUACCAGGUCUUGACAUCCCGAUGACCGCUCUAGAGAUAGAGUUUUCCCUACGGGGCAGGGAGACAGGUGG